rfam:Triticum aestivum genome assembly, contig: Triticum_aestivum_CS42_TGACv1_scaffold_177338_2DS
UCAUUGCUCAGUUGGUAAAGCACAAAGCUCUUAACCUUGUGGACGUGGGUUCAAGCCCCGUGAUGAG